GAUGAACGCUGGCGGCGUGCCUAAUACAUGCAAGUCGAGCGAACAGACGAGGAGCUUGCUCCUCUGACGUUAGCGGCGGACGGGUGAGUAACACGUGGAUAACCUACCUAUAAGACUGGGAUAACUUCGGGAAACCGGAGCUAAUACCGGAUAAUAUAUUGAACCGCAUGGUUCAAUAGUGAAAGACGGUUUUGCUGUCACUUAUAGAUGGAUCCGCGCCGCAUUAGCUAGUUGGUAAGGUAACGGCUUACCAAGGCAACGAUGCGUAGCCGACCUGAGAGGGUGAUCGGCCACACUGGAACUGAGACACGGUCCAGACUCCUACGGGAGGCAGCAGUAGGGAAUCUUCCGCAAUGGGCGGAAGCCUGACGGAGCAACGCCGCGUGAGUGAUGAAGGUCUUCGGAUCGUAAAACUCUGUUAUUAGGGAAGAACAAAUGUGUAAGUAACUAUGCACGUCUUGACGGUACCUAAUCGGAAAGCCACGGCUAACUACGUG
rnacentral:rRNA from 1 species